rnacentral:rRNA from 1 species
AGUGAACGCUGGCGGUAGGCCUAACACAUGCAAGUCGAACGGCAGCACAGUAAGAGCUUGCUCUUACGGGUGGCGAGUGGCGGACGGGUGAGGAAUACAUCGGAAUCUACUUUUUCGUGGGGGAUAACGUAGGGAAACUUACGCUAAUACCGCAUACGACCUACGGGUGAAAGCAGGGGAUCUUCGGACCUUGCGCGAUUGAAUGAACCGAUGUCGGAUUAGCUAGUUGGCGGGGUAAAGGCCCACCAAGGCGACGAUCCGUAGCUGGUCUGAGAGGAUGAUCAGCCACACUGGAACUGAGAAACGGUCCAGACUCCUACGGGAGGCAGCAGUGGGGAAUAUUGGACAAUGGGCGCAAGCCUGAUCCAGCCAUACCGCGUGGGUGAAGAAGGCCUUCGGGUUGUAAAGCCCUUUUGUUGGGAAAGAAAAGCAGCAGGUUAAUACCCCGCUGUUCUGACGGUACCCAAAGAAUAAGCACCGGCUAACUUCGUG